CCCUGGAUCAGACCCAGACAGGGAGGGGCUGCUGAUGCUGGUAGAGACAGAGCUGAGGCCACAGAUGUGUCGCUGGUUGUGGAAGCGGAGCUCGGUCAGCGUGUUGUUCUGGAGGAGGGCCCGGAAGAUGGCCAGGAUGCCUUUGCCUGUGAUGUGGUUGGAGUCCAGGUUGAGGCUGGUGAUGGUCUUGUUGGCCUUGAGCAUGAUGGCAAUGGCAAAGGCCACAUGGUCAUCGGCUCGCGUGUUGGCCAAGGCGAACACCUUAACCACAGUGUUGAACUCCAGAGCCUCAGUAAACCGGACCAAGAUCUCAUUUGUGAUGCAGUCUGAGUUGUUGACAUUCACCUCAGUCAUCUCGGGGUCGUUGUUCUUCACUCUCUCCAGAGGCUCAUCAAAUAUGCUGGGAGCUGCCUCCUCCUCUACCUUGGCCGGACCUUCAGAGGGCUUGGUGGGGCCACUGGGCAUCUGUUUCUCGGGUGUUUUGGUCUUGCUGUCAUCCUUGGCUUCCUUUUCAUGUAAGAGUUCAUUCUUCUUGACUUUUUCAUCCUCCUUUUUGGUGUCUGUGUUCCCAGUUCCUCUUUUUACCUUCUCAUCCUCCUUUUUCAUGUCUGUGUUCCCACCUGCUCUUUUCAUCUUCUCACCCUCUUUUCUGGUGUCUGUGUUCCUACGCUCCCCUUUUACCUUCUCAUCAUCCUCUUUCUUGGCCACCUCCUUCAUCUCCUCCCUCUUUUUAUCCUUGUCCCUGCUCAAGCCUGUGUUCCUGUCACUCCCUUUCUUCUCCUCUUCCUUCUUGGUGGCCACUGCCCUCUCCUCUCCUCUCCCAUCCUUC
rnacentral:lncRNA from 1 species